rnacentral:rRNA from 1 species
UAAACUAGGAUUAGAUACCCUAUUAUUAAAAUUUAAAUUGAAAAUACUAAAAUAGUAGAUAAUUAUUUAUUGAAACUUAAAUAAUUUGGCGGUAUUUUAGUUCAUUUAGAGGAAUCUGUUUAAUAAUUGAUAAUCCACGAAUAAAUUUACUUAAUUUUUUAUUUUGUAUAUCGUUGUUAAAAAAAUAUUUUUUAAUAAUAAUAAUAUUUAAAAAUUUUGAUUAAAAAUUAAAUCAGAUCAAGAUGCAGAUUAUAAUUAAGAAUAUAAUGGAUUACAAUAAAUUUAUUUAGAUGAAUAUUAAUUUGUAAAAGUUAAUUGAAGGUGGAUUUAAA